UACGAAGGGGGCUAGCGUUGUUCGGAAUUACUGGGCGUAAAGCGCACGUAGGCGGUUCGUUAAGUCAGGGGUGAAAUCCCAGAGCUCAACUCUGGAACUGCCUUUGAUACUGGCGACCUAGAGUUCGGAAGAGGUUAGUGGAAUUCCCAGUGUAGAGGUGAAAUUCGUAGAUAUUGGGAAGAACACCAGUGGCGAAGGCGGCUAACUGGUCCGAUACUGACGCUGAGGUGCGAAAGCGUGGGGAGCAAACAGG
rnacentral:rRNA from 1 species